ensembl:lncRNA
AUAAAACACACAUAUUUAUACAUACAUGGCUAUAUUAUGACCUCAGGAGGAAUCUAUUGUGAUGCUGGCACAUUGCUAUGUUUGGUAUGUUUAUGUGAGAGAGGUCAGUAUCUUGCUUAUAUUUGAUAGCAAAUGUGCUGAUGAUAUGCUAUUAAAUUCCUUUUGGGAAUAUAUUUUAGUCUUGUUUAAGAGGAAAGUGAGGUCUAAAUAAAUGCAAUGACAAUGAAAAUAUAUGGCUGUGUUGUGAUUUCAGAUUAUUAUUAUUAUUAUUUUAUUAUGACACAGCAAACAAGAUAGAUAUGCUGGAUUUCGUAUCACAAAAUCACAAGUCGAACACUUCCCAAGUGUCUAGGACUGUGUGAUGUAUUUUCAGAUGAUGUGUGCAGAUCCCAGUAGGGUGGCCUUUUGCAGUUGGCAGAUCGUGAUUUUGUCAAUGUCUAUUGUUUCCAAAUGCCGGCUGAGAUCUUUUGGCAUGGCACUCAAUGUGCCAAUUAUUAUUAUUGUCAUUAUCAUCCUUAUAUUUAUCCCACCUUUCUUCCACUGGACUCAAGGCAAAUGCCUACACAUAUGUAUGCAAAAUGUUUUUAAAACUAUUAAUAUUUAAUUGUAGCUUUUGGCAUUUUAUGGAGUUUAUCACACUGAUAAAAAAACAACAACAUUAUUUACUCUCUAAUGGUAUUCAUGUUUAUACAGUGCAAGUGGUACUAAACUCCAUGGAACCUGCACCCAAGUCAAGCCAAUGAAAUAAUAGCCUAAAUCUUCAAUGGAUACAUUAAGCCCAAAACAGGAUAUGUAGCCUUUACAAACCAUGUAACUGAUGACAUUCUAUGCUGGAUACUUGGUUACAUACACAUAAUUUAGUUACAUUGGUAAGUGUACAUCUGCUGACUGUCAGGACAUGAUUCAAAGCUUGGAAGAACAAGCAUUUGACUCCUGCCCCUGCCAACAUACCUGAAGCAAGGUCGGCGUUAACAAACAAACCUGGAGGAGGAGAGCAGUCCUGUGAGGAAGCGAUAAUCAGGAGAAAUCGUUCACAGGAGUUGGAGAAGGCUGGGGAGGGGUUUGGAAGGGGAGGAGGGAAGAGUACUUUAAAAGGGUUUGAAGGUAAUAAGAAAAUUAGUAGUGUUAUUUUCUUUCUCGUGUGUGUAGGAGCAAUAAAGCUGGCUACGUCCACCUUGGAGUGUGAGUACUGCUUAAUUGCUAGAAACGACCAGCAGAAGCUGACACUGACCUGAAUAUUAGGCAUGGGUGAUCCAUUGGUUCUAAACUCUGUUCAAAACUAGGGGGUGCUGGCGCUUCGUUUCUAAAGUCAUUUUCGAAUUUUGAAGGCAAAAAUUUUGAAACUUUCUGAAACUUCCGAAUCUUUGAAAGUACCUCGUUAAUGGCGGAUGCACAUGAGCAUGAAGGAAAACAUUACUGUCAAUCGGGAAACUUGUGGGGCUUCUCUCUCCUUCAUUUUCUGAGCUAUCCUGAUGAAACUUGUUCCUGUGGUAGAACACAUUUACCACAUUUAUAUGCCUGUACUGUGGAAGAACACGCGGGUGAAGAAUAGGACUCCACAGUCACCUAUGUAUCCACCACCGAGACACUACACUUGGACAACGAGGGAUCACCUAAGUAAGUAGGUAUGCAAGGACCCAUGGAUAAAGUGUGAUAAUAAUAGGACAAAAAGCACCUUUUGGGGGGAUUAUCUCACAAUGUUGGGUUUCUUUCACAAUGUAUUUGAAAUGGCAUUUUUCAUUUGGUUAAAAAAAGGCUCCUGGUUUCAGACUGAAAAUAAGUCAGAAAUUUGGCUGGGAAAAAACAGGAAAUUAAAAAGACCCUGUCAUUCCACGAGGAGUUAUCAAGAUUUGACCCUAGUGCAAAGAUUCUUUUGCUUAUUGGCAUAGACUGUCCAGACUUGUUUUCAGUUAAAAAGCAAAUAAAAGGUUGACCAGGAGCACCAAUUGCUCAAGAGCUAGAGAUAGCUGGACUAUUCUAGGUCCAG